rnacentral:rRNA from 1 species
UACGUAUGGGGCAAGCGUUAUCCGGAUUUACUGGGUGUAAAGGGAGCGUAGGCGGCAGGGCAAGCCUGAUGUGAAAGCCCGGGGCUCAACCCCGGGACUGCAUUGGGAACUGCCCCGCUCGAGUGCCGGAGGGGCAGGCGGAAUUCCUAGUGUAGCGGUGAAAUGCGUAGAGAUAUGGAGGAACACCAGUGGCGAAGGCGGCUUCCUGGUCUGCAACUGACACUGAGGCGCGAAAGCGUGGGGAGCAAACAGG